UUAAAAGAUAUAAUGUGGAGAACUGAUGGAAAUACUGUAGAAGGGAGCUAAUAUCUUUCUCACUAUCCUCUUCAUAAUGCUGUUAUGAAGUUGAUACCUGAGAUGCUUUGCAGAAAUUGCAUUGGAGAGGAACAUGAUAUCAAAAUCUCAUAUCUAUGGCAUGGUAAGUUACCCAUUAGACAGGAAAAAAAA